GAAUAAUUUCAAUAACAUUUCUCCUUUGCUGAAAGCUCAGACUGGUGCCUGAAAAAACUGCUCUCUCUAAAUGUUAUUUUACUUUGGUUUAUUUUCUUGUGCACCUCUGACUUAAGAAGCAGCGGGGAAUCCACAUGAAUGCUGUGGGCCUGCAGAACUGUGUGGCAGCCUGCCCUCCCAGGAGCACCGGGAGACACUCUGGUCUUCAAAGUGCAAACAGCACGGCUUCUUGGGCUGUUUCAUGAUUGUUUCUAGUGUCUUGUUGGGGCUACUUCAGCAACCACAAAGCCAGGGCACAGAAAGCACUGUGAGCAUGGAGAAAUGCUUUUCUCUCGGGACAAGCCUACAACUGCCCCUGGCCACAGUCCCCUCUGUGCUACAGAGGCCAAGGAGAAAUAAAGAUGGAGAAGGGGCACCCUCCCUGCUCCGGCACGAGCCUCGCAGGCAGCUCGCCGCACGGCCCCCAGCCAAACCCAGCAGCCUUUGGGGAUGUCACCACCAGCGCUACGCGGCUCGGAGCAGCCCGACCCGGGGCCACUGGGGGCCACCAUCGGGGUCCGCCCGGAGCCCCCUGCCCAAGGUCACCCCGACCGCCGCGCUGAUGACGCCACACGGGGCAGCCCCGCCGCCGGCACUUCGCUCCCCCCCACCCGCCCGCGCUGCCCCCGCGCCCGGCAGUACCGGGGAGGGACGGGGCUGCGCUCCCCCACCCCGCAGCCGCGGCCUCGGCACCGCUGUCAGAGCCCGGAGCCCGCAGGGGUGUCUCUCUGGCAGCGGAUGCUUCGGUACCGCGGGGUGGAGGGGGGGUGGGCAGCGCAUCUGUCCGUCCUUCUGUCUGCCUGUCCAUCCGCCCGUCCCUGCGUGGGCGGCGGCUCGUGGGCGUGUGUGUGACUGACACUGCGGCGGGGCAGCCGCCCUCCCGCGAGGAACCAGGGGGCUGGGAGGGGGGACGACGACAACGCCGGCGCCCCCCGGCUGCGGCAGCCCCGUCUCCGUCCCCCGCAGCCCUCCCCGGCGGGGGCGACCUCAGCGGCCUCGCUGCUCCUCCUCCCUCCUGGCGGCCAAAAUGAACAAAGAAGUUUGGAAAAUAAUCUGCAGAGGAGCAUGGCACCCCAGAAAAUGCUGCAGCAUGAAUGGCAAUACCUAUUACCCGUCGGAGUCCAAGCACAGAGGACUGCCAUCUUGAAGAACACAAGCUCAUAAAAAUCUGGUUUCUUUGGGUCCAUUGCUUAUUUACUUUAUUUGCUUUUAUGUGAGAAAUGUGAGGAAUUUUUCUAUUUUAAACUAACGUUAAACCAGAAGACAGACUUAGAAAGCUCAGUAAUGUCAUAUUUUACUUUCCUUCUUUCUCUAAGAUAUUGUUCUUGUAAUGCAUCAUCAGCUUCCACUGCCAGUUCUUUAGAUUCAGAAGGAGAGAGUAAUUUGUCAUGUACUUGUAAAGCAGCCAGUACACUCCAGUCUCUGGGCAGAUCCUGGCACAGUAGUCGUGUAAGGAGCAGUAAGUAGUUCACUGGGUGACACAGCAAACACUUUUGUUGCUGAAACUGACUGAAAAAUUAGGAGUCGUUUUUGUGGCAUUAUAUAAGCUGAGCAGUACCUGAGUUACUUUCCUGAGUCCACACAUAUUUUUAGGGACAAACAUCCAUGGUGACUGCCAGGGCAGCUCAAAGUCACAGUUGCUUUGAUGUAGGUAGCAGUGUCAGUCAUCCCUUGUGCAACUGUGUGAAGGGAGCCUGUGCCCAGAAUCCCCAGUCACAGCGUCCGCCCCAGCAUCGGGUUGCACUGCAGGCUUUGGAAGACCAAAAAGCAAUUGAGAGAGGCCCACUACAACAAGCAGAGGGGAGAGCGGUCACCAGUGACUCUUGGGUCUAUGAGCAAAGGGGACUUUGGUACAAAUGCCUGUGGCAUUGUACCUGCCUUCCAGGCAGGCCCACAAUUACAGGACUACAAUUGUUUAUAUUAGGGUUUUUCAAGCUGCUGUUGCUGAAAUCAAAGCUUUAUGCUGGGCAUUAUAGGAGUGGUAAGCUGUCUUCAAUAUUGAAACAGUUUGUGUGCCCUGAGGAAAAUCAUAGGCCAUAGAGCAUCUUAGAUGGUUCAUGUAAAAUGCAGAAGAACAUGGGUGAAUUGUCUUUUACAGUGAAAUAUUCACAGUUUACAUACUGUUAUACAGAAUGUCAAAAGUUCAAAAGGGAAGCUGAGCACAAUAGGUGCAUGAAGAUGGAAAUGAUACUGGUUUUUCAUUGCAUAGUUCUAUUUCCAUCACUGAUGCGCCUUAACUUGAAUGAAUAUAUAGUUACAGAAUUUCUUCGUUUAUAAAUGUAUGCAAUAUAUAUUAUAGAUAAUAAAUUUCACAGUGAUGUAUGUGAUAAAUCAUGUAUAGUAUUUGUUGUGCAUAGUACAUACAACUCACUAUACAGUACAAUGCCACAUGCACUACGAAUAGAUAUACUUUGUGCGUAUGUAUAAUAAAUAUUUAUACAUUACCAUAGUUAUACAGAAAUAGUAGAUUAUAUUAAUCUGUUAACCAUUAUAUAGAUAUAUAUAUAUUCUGUAUAUACAUAUAUAUAUGCAUUUUUUUUCUACACCUCUUUUCAGAACAGCCUCUUUAGGAAACAUGCGUGCAUCUUAAUUGACUUAUUGCUUCUUUGUGCGCCAUCACAUUUUGAAUUUUCUAGUCUGAGGCAGAAAUUGAACAUAGGUUACCUGCAAUUAUAAUGAUGCGAUUCUGGCCUACAGUCUGCACAAGUUUUGAUACAGUUUAGUGGCCUGCUUAAAGUAACAAAAAGCUAUGAUUUACCCUUAGAUUAAAAGUUGGCAUAAGAUUUUAUUUUUUAUGCAGACCCUGGUUUCAGUGGCACCAUUUUUUAAAGCAAAUGAACUCCUCUGUGACUGCUGCAGAACAAGGGCUCAGGAGUGAGUCAGGUCCUUGAUGCAGAUACAACUGUCAUCAUCCUACAUCCUUCCAGCCUCUGAGCACCUUCAGUGUAGGAAGCCCAUUAUUCAAAGUAAAAAUGUUCACAGCCACCCUCUAAGGGUAAGAAUUAAAAAUGUAUUAGUGAUAGUGAUUAAUAAUUUACAUAUGAAGCUAGAAAAGGUUCAGAGCUGUGUGUGUACGUGUGUAUGCGUCAAGGGGGAGGAAGAAUUGUGUAUUUUCAGUGAUCUAAUUGAAGGAAUUAAACAAACUUACCCAUCUAAUAUAUGUGUGAAAAGAAGUCACACAUUUGGUUAUUCAUUCCACAUCCAUUUGAUAGUGAGAUAGAUUUUAGGGCAUGUUAUACACUUUCCCCUUUGGGUUCAUAACAGUUUGAAGUCUUUUUUAGUGAUUUUAAUGGAAAAUGUUUUUAAAUAUUUUUUCAUCACCAGAGAAAAAAAGAAAAUGCUUUAAAUGUCGAAUAACUAAAGGUAUUUCUGUGAGUCUGUCCACUGACAGUUUGGGUAAGUCUCCUACUGAAUUAGUCCAUAUUCCCCACCACCACUUGUUAUGCUGUUUCAUUUGAAUGCCAAAUUUUUCAUUUUCCUCUGCUACGUUACAAUUAUGUCUUCUAAUCACAGAGUCUGUAUCUAAAGGGUCUAUGCAUCAUUCUGGCCUACAGCAUACAUAAGGUUACAUUUUUUCUGGACUGAUUCCUGUUCCACACACACACUACUCAUAUUUCUCUCAUGUACAUAUGUAAGCUGCUGUGGUGCUUGCUCCCCAUUUCCAGAAAAUAUUCAGUGUUAUCAUUAAAAUCAUAUUGGUAAUUCACCUCAGCCACUUUCUGCAAGUUUUGUAUCAACAACUGCCAGCCUGUGUCCCACUGCACCUUCACUUGUGCACACAGUCACUAACAAAAAGACUUUAAUCCUAGUUUGGCUAGUGAAACAGAUAUGUACACAUUUUUAUGUGUGAUAAAAUUCAUAUGAUAUGAUUAGACUCUACAAUUUCUAAUGAUAAAAUACAGCCAAUAGGUGUCUUUGUAUUGAGGUCAGUUUUCUCUACAAGCAUCAACCACACUUGUUGCAGGCCCAAUGAAAUUAUUGUCUUUUACAGCUCCUGGAUGCAGAAAACACAGCACAUCAUAACAGCAGCAAUAGACUCAGCUGCAAAAGAUCUCUAUCACACAUCACAGAGAAUUUGAGACAGCUGGCAGUUAUCAGCUGAAGCAGGUAGUCAGUAGAAGUGUAGAAGAUAAUAGAAAAGCAAUCUGGAAACUUAGGAGAUAUAAUAAACCUCUGUUCUAGAGGAGAGGUAACAACUCUGGUAGGUCACUGAUGAACUCAACUCCCAGAUCAGUACUGCAUCUAAUACUGCUGAAAAUACAGCAGCAGUUUGCUGUUUGUACCUGUCAGGUCUAAAGUAGUAUUUAGGAUGUUGUUGGAAACACAGUUUGAUAUAUUCAGUUAUAGAAAUUGCUAUUGCAGUUAAGUGAAGAUGGAUCAUGCUGCUGAAAAGCAGCUGACCACAAUCCCAGGGACACCAUGACCCUGUAUUAAAUUAUGCUUGCCAGAACAGAAAGCUACUUACACCCACUUCUUAUUCUACAUGCUGUUGUGUCUAUGCUGCAAGAGUAACCAUUACAUAACGUUCCUGUCAUAUUGAUCAUGGUUCUCUGUGAAGAACAUGAUUUUAUUAAUUUUUUUUGUAUGAGUAAUUUCUGGUUGCCUAAAAAUAGUUGAACCAUUAUAUUUUCAAUAAUAUGAGCACAGAGAAGAGAGAGAAAGGUCCAUCUCUAUGAGUAGGAGAAGAAUGAGCUAUAAUUAAAAUAGUCUGCAAAAGAUCUUUUGCUUCAAAUCACUCAUAGUUUCCAAAUUCAUACCUAUAGAAAGCAUGAAAUCCUGCAUUAACACACAAGGAAAAUGAUACCAUAUGAUCUUCUCUUGCUGUUUUCUGAGGUGUCGUUGAACAAAUGGUGGUAGGGAGACAGCAUCAGAUGUUGAUCUGUCAAGGUGGCCACAGAAUAGAAAUCUGCUAGUGGCAUCGUUCUACCAAAAAAAGUGUAAAAAGUGACAUCCUUCUCGAUUCAUUAACACACUUAGGUGGGUUACGUAAAGCAGCUGAUGUCAGUGAAACAUGAAUUCUUAUGGAGCUGAACACACAUGGGCUGGGGCUGGGGGGAGGCUUUUGUCCCAUUUGCUUAGCAAUAUGCUUUAAAAAAAACCUGUAUAACAGGAUUUAUAAAUCAUUCUGUGCUUUUACAAUGAAAGAGCAAAAAACAAGACAAUGCAUUAAAUGUGUUUUUUUGUUUGUUGUUUUAGACAUUAGCUACCACUAUUAAGUAAAAUUCUAACUUUCUUUAUGAAUGCAGCAUAUUAUAUUCACAAAACCCCUUAACAAAAUUUGGAUGUGUCCAUGUUGCUGGUUAUUUAAAUAAUGAGUCCUUUGAACAGUCUUCUCUGUAAUUCUUUAAAAGUAACUGCAGUAUGUGUUUUUAUUUUUAAUGUCUUGUUUUAAUGUAUUUUACUAUGCCACUGAACGUGAAAUAAUUGUGUGCCUCUGUAAGUUCCAACUCUGAGUGGUGAUUGCUUAGGAUAUUUUCCUUUCAUAUCUUGUCUGAUGACUGCUAAAAUAAGAAAAUAAUAACAGGCCAAACUUUCAAAGCUUACAUACCUUAAAAGCCUAAAAUGACCAUGAGAUCUUAGUUUGAAACUUGAUUGGUCUUGUAAUUACAGGAAUAUAAUCCUAGAGAUAGACUUCGGGCCAGUCUGAAUCCAUUUUUUAUAUCACUUACUUAGUUCAGCUGUUAUGGAAAUGUAAAUUACUAUCAUUGUGUUACAAGCUAUACCUAAUUUCAUUAGAUUACAAAACUUUUUAAGUAGCAGGAGACUUUUCUUUCUGACUUGUUUCAUUUUAAGCAGAUGACAGAGAAAUAGUCAAAAAUAACUUACUCAAUAAAAUUCUAGAACAUAUCUAAUUUUUUUCAUAUAAAAUUCCAGUAUACGAGUAAUUAUCAGCUAACAAGAUGUUGACAUGUUGUCCUAAACAGUGCAAAUAAUACACAAGGAAUAUACAAAGCUAGAACUAAGAAAGUAUCACUCCCAGGGUAUGAUCCUUAUUGUUGGAAUAUAAACAGGUCUUUUUAACUUUUUUUCUCCUUCUCAUUAAUUCUUUGAAUAUUUCAGUCUUUUUCUAUGCUGUGAUUCAGAUUUAACAAGAAAAAUGAAGAAUAACUUGUUCAGCUCAGUAUCCAGUCACAUAACUCUCUGUUACGGUGGCAUUCAUGUGGGAGGUAUAAACAAAGGUGGGUUCUAGAAUCUUUUUCUGGUGACAUUCCCUAAAUGGGAAUAAAGGGAAGCAUCCUCUGGUUGUGCUCAAAAAGUGAAUUCAGUGCUCUGAAUCUCAAGGGAUAAAGGUACCUGUUCUGCAUAGAUACACUGAGUUAUCUAACUGUUCAAACAAACGUCUUGGUUUAGUGUACCCAAAGACACUUUCUGUACUGCCAAUUGAAAGGUAAAGACAACCUACUUGAGUUUUCUGAAUUUCCUCUUGGAACCAUUUAACCCACUGACUGCAUAAGAGCUGGGUUACCCGAGGGAAGAUAUCUGAAUCAUCCUACUAUGUAGAUGUUAGCAUACUGGCAGCUACAAUAGUCUGAAUAUGGCCCUUUAGUGUAGAUUGGUUUGCAGAAACAUUAAGCCUCAAUAAGUGUACCCUGAUGGGAUCACAUUCUUCACUCAAGGUGAAAUAAAAAGCCAACUCCUGAGCUGAUUGUAAUUUGGUCUACAGAAUACCAUGAACAUCUUGAAUACAGUGAACCUAUUUAAUGUGCAGUACUUUCCUUUAUUGUUGAAAGCACUGGACUAUAUGUUCAGAAUCAUACACGAAGAGCUUUUGCUUCUUAUCUUUAUGUCUUCUUGGUAAAAUUAAGGUUUUCUUUGCAACUAUCCUCUGCAAUAGUGGCAAACCUAACAAUAAAAAAAGAAGUGUGUUUUGGUUAGUUCUGCAUGCUUCAAAAACAAAACUCCCCAGGAUAUGAAGUAUUUUCUUUCUUUACUGAUUAGAUCAAAAAAUGUAGUUUUGCAAUUUGAAGGAAUGAUGGGAGGUUUCAGGUGUUGGGUACAUAGCCCUCAAAACUUAAACGUAUUACUACAAGUCCUUCUCUCAACACACAAGUCAACACCAGGAGACUUUGGAAGAAGGAAUCACAUGAUACUUUGUGUAUGGCUCUGUAGGGAAGUAUGAGGAAGCAAAAUUCAUCUCUCCUUUUGGGAAGGCUUCGGAUUGCUAAUUAAACCUUCUUGUCCAUAAAGAAUAGAUGGUAUGACAGCUGUAUGUUUGCAGGUGUUCUCGUAUUCUUUUUGGUGACUCUUAUCUUGUAACAGCCUGUGCUGGAGCUUCUGCUGUUCUUCUGGUGUCACCCUGUUCUGUUUUCAUUAUUCCACUCUGUAUUUUUACCCUUUACUUUGCAGUCCUAGGAAAAGUCUAAGUCCUUGGCCUUCAUUUUGUUUAAUGAAACUGCUUUCUCUCUGUUGUGCUGUCUUUACUCUCUCCAGGUACUUCCAGUCAUUCCUGUGCAUCAGCCUGUAUGGGAGUAAAAUAUUUAUUUUUUUCCUGUGGGUAGUGAAUCACUGUACCAAUGAACUGGGGGACUGUACUGCUAUGUCAAAAAAUCAGUAAUAAAAAUUGCUUUCUUCA